AUAACUUGUAUUGCCUGAAAACCACUUUGCGUUCUUUUACUGAUACCUUUCUUUACUGAGUUUGUGAAGGCUUAAUCCAUUUUCACGCAGAGAAGAGGACAUCAAACAAAGUCAGAGCUGUGUACAAAAUGAAGAAUGCUGAAUGGGAAAUAGCAAGACAGAUUUCAGCUCCACAUAAGGAAGGAUGUCCUGCAAAUUAGCAAAGCCUAAAAAUGAAACAUGAUGCUUUAAGAAAUACUGAUGAUUCAUAAAAGAAACUUUUAUUGUGAGAGUUUCUCUUCAUUGGGGCAAAUCAAUAAAAUGCCCAUAUUUUCUAACAUUCAAAUGUUGCUUGGAAUCACU
rnacentral:lncRNA from 1 species